UGCAUCAUAUGGAAGCAUUUGUUUUGAAAUAUGAUUAAAUUCUAUUUUAUUUUUGGAAACUUCGACCUUGGGCGAACUUUUCGAGGUCAAAGUCAAAGGUCAAGGUCAAGGCCAUGCAAGGUGCGUCUUUCCAUGAGCUAAAAUGUGAACCAAGUCUGAAGUAGCUACGAUGACGAGAACCGAAGUUAUGGCCAAUCUGACGUUUUGUACAACAUUGAUCUUGACCUUUGAC